UCCCUUGUGUCUCAGCAGUAAAGAAUCUUCCUGCAAUGCAGAAGACCCAGGUUCCAUCCCUGGGUGGGGAA
rnacentral:tRNA from 1 species